rnacentral:pre_miRNA from 1 species
CUCAUUAAAUGGUUUGUUGAAUGAAAAAAAUGAAUCAUCAACAGAUAUUAAUUGGGCGU